CAAAGGCUCCUCCCCAGCCCAGGUCACCUUGGUCACCUCCUCCGGGAAGCCUUUCAUGCCUUUCUGCUCUGGCCUCCCACUUUGGAGUGUGGCCUCUCUUACCAGCCUGCCUCCUCCCUCCCCACACCCCGUCAGUUCUCCCAGGGCAGAGGCUGUUUCCUAUUCUGCGCAGCGUUUCCGGCACCCAGCCAGGCUUAAAGUUAAUCCUAAAGAAGUGUGAUGAUGGUGGAAGCCUGUGGCCAAGACUGAUCAUUGGUGGAGAUAGUUUGGUUGUACAAUGGGUCUCUAUCUGUGAGUAGAGCCAACUUUCUUGAGAUGUGGGAACAGAAGCCCUCCUGAAUGGAUUCAACAUGACAACUUGCCUUCACCUCUCUUAGAUCCCCCUUUCUGGAAAACUCCAGCCAGAGAGCAAGUCUGAGAUUGGGAGAAGUGAAAAGCAGGUA
rnacentral:lncRNA from 1 species